GCUUUAUUUAAAACCUGGUCUUUGCUGUGUGAGCUGUAUUAUUAGUGUUUGUCUUCAGAAGUGGUGGUACUACAUCUAUAUCUCUUAAGGGUGAGGGCCUACCCCGAGGCAGGCUAGACUAGUUUACCUGUGGGCCUGUUUCAUCUCUGUUAGUUUGUCUGGUGAGUUGGACUCCUAGCUGACUUCUCCCCUGCAUUACUUGGGUAGCAUGGGCUUGAGCCUAUCAAGUUUGGUUUUUCAUCUUAUAGAGCUGAUAGUCUUUGUACUGUGACAAAAACUUUUUUUUUUCAUAGUGUUGUUAGUAUAUCACUGUUAUGUAGGAAUACAUGCUUUGGAGAUGUUCUUUAUGAAUAUGGGGGCUCUUCUUUAAGAACUUGACCUGUAAAAUUUCAUUUUUUAACUUAUUUGAGUCCUUAAUAAAUAGUAUUCAGUUGCUAUGUGUGUCUUUGACCACUUUUGAGUUCCUGAGUAGGCAGGUACCUGUAGUGGCAAUACUAAGUCAUGGCUUGAAGCAGUAAUUGAGCACCUGGUGGGAAGGCAGGACCAACCCAGAGGAGCUCAGGUGCAUGCAAUACAGUACACCUGAGUGACUGAAAGUGGUGGAGCAAGGAUCAACCCCUUCCCAGACCUCAUUUAAGGGUUGAAACAGUAGAGACAAGGAUGUCUUGCUGAAGAUUCAUGUGUACCUGAGGCCUUCUGAGGCCAUACAACUUCUACAACUUUAACACAGGACUUGCCCAUGCGUAGAGCUUUGUACCUCAUUUAUGGAGGUUGUUAGGCCUGCUUCUGUGAAGAUUAACCUGAUGCAUCAAUGCCUUAAAGAGAAAAAAUCUCAAGAGAAGUCUCUGAAAAUCCUUGGAGACCCAAUCCAACUGACUGCUGGUGUGAAGCCCAGUGGACUGGGCAUGAGUGGAAUGUGGUUGUGUUACUGCUCACACUGCACCAUCUUUGGCUUUGUUUCUGUUUGUGCUUUUAGGACUUGCAUUAGGACAGGGAGAAAUAAAACAGCAGAAGUGAUCUAUGAGAAUCAUAUUUAUAUUGGACUGUGGCUGUGUAUACAAUUUAGAUGUGCUGAGAAUAAUUUAUUUUAAGUUAUCUCUAUUAUAAAUGCUUAAGUUGAGUAUUUGCUAAAUUAAAGUAACUAUGUAUAGUAGUUAUGUAUAACAACAUAUUAGUUAUUCUUAGCAUUACCAAAAAGAAAAAAAGAAAGAGGGGGAAAAACAGAUAUUGAUUUGUUUUAAAUAAAGGAUCUGUCUUCAUGAGAUAAAUGAGCAGACUCUCAAAUAUGUCCUACUGCUAUCAUAUUCUACCAGUACUUGCUUUUAUAGUAGGUUAUCUAGCAUGUACCAUGAAUAACCUAAAAUAACUACUUUUUCCUUUAUGCAAUAAGAGUAAUAUAUUUGGAAAACAAUAAAAAAACUG